GGUUGAUCCUGCCAGUAGUCAUAUGCUUGUCUCAAAGAUUAAGCCAUGCAUGUCUCAGUGUAAACUUUUAAACAGUGAAACUGCGAAUGGCUCAUUAAAACAGUCAUAAUUUAUGUGAAACUCUUUCUACAUGGAUAACCGUGGGAAUUCUAGGGCUAAUACAUGCGUACCCGCAAGGGUUGUGUUUAUUAGAUUAAAACCAUCACUGUAGCAAUACAGUUUCGUUGGAAUGAUAAUAACCGAUCGAAUCGCACGCGCAAGUGGCGAUAAUUCAUUCGAGUUUCUGACCUAU
rnacentral:rRNA from 1 species